rnacentral:lncRNA from 1 species
UUUUUUAUGAAGAAGUCUACUUUUACAGAUUGAACUAUUGCAUCAUGUCUAAAUUUCCCUCUAAUACGUUCAAUAAUCGCAAAUAAGCAUUAGUCAUAAUGUCUGAUUUCACAGAUAAUAUCAAAACCCAUGAAUCAGGGUGCCAUGGAAAUCAUACAAAGCACACACAACAGCCGCAUUCAGGUGUUGGCAAUUGGCCUAUAUAACAUACUAGAAGAUAACUCAAUUACAUUGGCACCUAACUCCUUUUGAUGGAAUUUUCUGAAUGUUAUUCCUACUUUUGAUGGAAUUUUCUGAAUGUUAUUCCUUCUUUUGAUGACAAUGUACUCAUAAGACAUCCAAGCAGUAUACAACACUAUUGUGUGGCGACAUCACCUUCUCAGUGCUUGCACUCAACAGGCACAAAUUCGAAAUAAUCAUUUAGCACAAAAUUACAACAUAGUGAAGGGGAAAUGCAAGCAGAUAGUUGCCCACAAAUUAUAGGCUAAAUUUUUUUAAAUAAUACAUUUUUUUUAAAUUACAGAAAUAAUACGCAGAAAAAAGAAUUUACAAGAAUAAUACACCGUCGGCCCACUGCAGGCCGACUGAGCCCAGUCGGUCCACAGCAGGCCGAUCGGCUAUCAGGAGGCCGACUGCAGGCCGGGCUGGCACGCGGCCGCCUGUGGUUGGUCGGGCCACAUCGCGAGGGGGGAGGCAGCGGCCUGUCGGCGUGGUGCGCCCCUGUCGGCCUGCCGCCCGCCGAUCGGCCACCUGGUGGCCGACAGGGUGCUGCCGACCUGACGCGCGCUGGCCAGCCCGCCCUUAUCCUCUCCUUCCUCUCCUCCUGCAUUAUUUCUUCUCCCGUGCCCGCCCUUAUCCUCUCCUUCCUCCAUUAUUCUUCUCCCGUGGCUCAUUUCUGCUGUGUUCUUCCUCCUCCUCUCUCUACAGAAAAAUGGCACACAUUUGUACACCUAAAUGAGCAACAUUUUCGCGAUUUUGGCACCGUGAAUAGGUUCAACUCAUUUAGGGCAGCCAAAAGAGGUGUCGAUCUACUGACGGGGUAGCUCCUGGUGGUCGUGGUGAGCAUUUUGGUGGAGGUGGUGGUGGUGAAGUUGGGGCAGUGUUCGUCGUUGGGGCAGUUGGGGUGGUGAGGUGGUGGUGGUGGUGGAGGUGGUGGAGGUGGUGGUGGUGGAGGUCGUUCGUCGUUCUUCGUUCUUCGUUCGCACGCACGCUUCAAGGGUAUAUUUCAGCCCACAUUUUAUUUUUCGUAGGUGCUCCGGGAGUAUACGUAAAUACUGUUAUUUGCCGCGGUAGUAUACGUAAAUAUUUGUGUGUGAUUAUUGUUAUUUGGCCCGGUAGUAUACAGAAAUAUUGUUAUUUGCCCCGGUAGUAUACGUAAAUAUUAUUCGUUCGCACGCAUGCUACGUUCGAUGUGAAAAUAAAUUUGUGUGCGAUUAUUGUUAUUUGCCCCGGUAGUAUACGUAAAUAUUUGUAGUUGCUACGGCAAAUAUUCGUAAUAUAGUUGUAGGUGUGUGAAUUGUAUUAGUUGUUAGUGGGAUAAUAAGUUGUUGCUUAAUACUUGACACGUACACAGGUGCGGGAUAAGAAGUUGGAAACAUGAAUAAAAAGUUGGAAAGAAGAGACAAGUUUUUUUUUGAAGAGUUGGGGUCGGCAUGUGCAUAGCAUGUCAAUGUGAUGAAAAUUUAACAAGCAAACAAAAAAUAGGAAAAGUAGAACUACAUGUAAAAAAACGUUUCAGUCCGUACCCGAUGCCAAUAUGAAGCGGAUUACCCGCUAACCUUUAUUAUGCGUAUUUUCUAAAGUUUAACCCAUAACAAGCAAUGCCACACUGUUUUUUUUAAACGGCCACGCUGUAGUUUAACAAAAAAACUUCUUUGCAAGGAAGAAUUUUACAUGAUCGUAGAAAUAAGACGCAUGCCUUUUUCUAAAUUAUUUUAACAUAGAUUAAAAUAAAAAAUACAUCAACAUGGCCAUAUAAUUCAAAUAAACUGAAUUAUCAUAUUUGUCGGUUAUAUUAUUAUUAUUUGAGGCCUAUUUAUUAUUAGUAAAUAUGGGCCUAUUUAUUAUAUUAUUUACUAUGGUCCUGGUAAUAUAUAUAUAUAGACAUGUCUAAUACUUGUAUUUCUAUGUUGAAAAAAAAUAGGUGAGUCGAGAUGUCCGAUGUAGUGAAGUUGAGAUUUUACUAUGGUCCUGGUACUGUCCAAACAAAUGAGUUGGGAGCAGAUCUUAGUGAAUUUACUCACAUAGAGGUUGCAAUCAGCGCACCACAAACAUGGUCUGUUAGUCAGUUGAAAGAAUGGAUCGCGGCAAGUUUAGGUCUUGAUACUGAAACACACACCGUCGGUGUUCAUGCAUUGUGGACACGGUCAAGUUCAAAAAUUUACUUUUAUUUGAGGCCAAUAGAGGGAGACUCCGAUUGGGUGCGGUGGUUACAAUGUUGUGAACGAAGGGGAUGCAAUCCUGUUGCUUUAGUGCUUCCCGUCGUGAAGGAGGUCACUGCACAUGAAGGGGAGGGUGGCUACGAAGGACAGAGCAGUCAUGUAGAAGGAGGAAAUGCUUAUGGUUACGAACAAGGACAGAGCAGUCAGGUAGAAGGAGGAAAUGCUUAUGGUUAUGAACCAGGGCAGAGUAGUCAGGUAGAAGGAGGAAAUGCCGAUGGUGAUUACAAUGGCGAGGUGGACGCUGACGAGGUAGAUGGGCACAUGCAGAACCAGAUGGAAGAAGAAGACACCGAUGUUGAAAGGGGUCAUGCCGAUGAUUCUGACGAGUCAGAUGAAGAAGAAAAUGUAGAGGAGGUCCCGAAUCCUGCAUGGUGGAAUCAUGACUUAUCAUCUGCAAUGACCGUGAAUGAUGGACAUGAUUCAGCUUGGCAAUAUCACCAGAACAAUAUUGCGACGGGUGCUAUGUAUCCGAACAAGCAAGCCCUGAAGGAUGCAAUAAUUAAUUGGGCAAUGUCCACGCAAAGGGUUUUCAAAGCUGAGGUGUCCAGUCAGAAAUUCCUCACAAUGGUAUGCAAGAAUGCAGAUUGUCCCGCAAGGGUGCACGGCUUUCUCCCUAAGUAUGGCACAAGUUGGGUGAUAAGUGACUUAGUUAAUCACACUUGUCUUAUUCCCUGCAUCCCUCAAGAUCAUGCCAACCUUUCAUCCACGCUUAUUGCUCGACUGUUUUACGAUGAGAUAGUGCAAGGCAAAGCUAUGGAAGUGAAGGCAGUGCAGACAAAAGUGUUCGCCAGGUUGAAGUACAAAAUUUCUUAUGGCAAGGCUUGGAGGGCUAAGCAUGCAGCGCUUGAGAGGAGAUUUGGUUCUUAUUUUGAUGCAUAUGACUCUGUUGUCCACCUCCUCCACACCCUGCAGCAGCGGAAUCCAGGCACCUAUAUCGAUAUCCAAGACAUGUUCAUGCCAGAGUUCCCAACUGUGAGGGUUUUGCAUCGUCUCUUCUUCUCUUUCGGUGUAUGCAUCGAAGCUUUCAGGCAUUGCCGACCGGUGAUAUGUGUUGACGGUACUUUUCUCACAGGCAAGUACAAGGGUCAGAUCCUGACAGCCAUAGGUCAAGACGGCCAAAAUCAAGUCGUCCCACUGGCAUUUGCUUUUGUGGAGAGUGAGAACAUUGAAAGUUGGACAUGGUUCUUCAGGCAGUUGAAAAUAUCAGUUGUGAAGGAGAAGCCGAAUGUGUGCAUCCUUCAUGACAGGCAUGCAGGUAUACUCAGUGCGAUAAGGACACUGACAAAUCCAGGCCCUGAGGAACAAGUUCCAUGGCAGGACUUGCAGAGCCGUUGGUGCAUGCGCCAUCUCGGGGCUAAUUUCUUCUCGCAGUUUAGAAAUAAGAACCUGAUGAAUCUAUUCAAAAAACUCUGCAAGCAGAACCAGUUAUGGAAGUACAAUUUGAUACGCGACAGACUUAAUGUGUGCACGCAGAGACACGUGAGGGACAGGAAAGCUGCAAGAGAUGCAGCGGUGAGGACACAUGUUGAAGCAGUAGCUGCACAGUUGGCAACAGGAACAGCGGCCGUGGAGGAGGAGGCUGUUGGGCUAUGUGACCUGCCAGGCUUUGACCCACCUGGUACUAGGAGAAGGCUCGGGAGGUCGAUUAAAACCUUCGAGCAGUGGAUAGAGCAUGAGCCUCUGGAGAGGUGGUCUUUGCUACAUGACACACAUGGAGCAAGGUACGGUGUCAUGACAACGAACCUCGCGGAAACAUACAACUUUGUCCUCAGAGGAAACCGGGCAUUGCCACUUACAGCCAUCGUUGAGGGUAUUUUCUAUGGCACCGUCAAGUAUUUCAGAGACAGACGUCAAAUAGCAGAGCAGCAUAUCUUGAACAACCCAAAUACACGGUACUGUGAAAGAGUCACGAAGUACAUGGACAAUAAGAUGCAAAAAGCUAGGUCACACACUGUAGUCGCCAUCGGUAAUCAAGAAAGAAGGUUUGAGGUCCGCUUAGCCAACAACAAAUUCGGAUGUGCAAAUGAGUUGAGGACGCAUGAGGUGAAAAUUGGCAAUGAAGCCUGGCCAACGUGUGAGUGCACAUGCAAUAAACCGAAAUUGCUUCACCUACCUUGCGCACAUGUACUUGCUGCUUGCGGGCAGCUUGGAAUGGACGCAAUAUCGUUUGUGUCUCCAUAUUUUCUGAAAGAGGCCGUCCUCAAUACCUGGACAGGUGAGCUGAUGGGUUUUCGAACAAUGGGUAAUUUCAACAGCGUCAACCCCGCCGAUAGGCGUUACAUUCCAAACCCAGAGCAUAUGCGUACAAGUAGAGGCAGACGGCAGUGUCAGCGCAUCCGAAAUGAUAUGGAUGAAUCUGAAGCAGGAGGUCCGACUAGGCAAUGCAUUCUAUGCAAUGAAUUUGGCCAUAGGGACACUAAUUGUCCCACAUUCGUCACUGGGCGUGGACGAGGCAACCGGGGAAGAAGAGGAGGUAGAGGUAGUAGAGGAGUAAGGGCGAGAGGAAGAAGCUAAGCUAGCACUAGUUUGUUCUGAAUUUAUAUUAAGUGUGCUGUGGCACUAUGUUCUGAAAUUUGUAUUAAGUGUGGCACUAUGUUCUGAAUUUUUAUUAAGUGUGGCACUAUGUUCUGAAAUUUGUAUUAAGUGUGGCACUAUGUUAUGAAUUUUUAUUAAGUGUGGCACUAUGUUCUGAAUUUGUAUUAAGUGUGGCACUAUGUUCUGAAUUUUUAUUAAGUGUGGCACUUUGUUGUGAAUUUUUAUUAAGUGUGGCACUUUGUUCUGAAUUUUUAUUAAGUGUGGCACUUUGUUCUGAAUUUUUAUUAAGUGUGACACUAUGUUAUGAAUUUUUAUUAAGUGUGGCACUAUGUUAUGAAUUUUUAUUAAGUGUGGCACUUUGUUAUGAAUUUUUAUUAAGUGUGACACUAUGUUCUGAAUUUUGUAUGUGCAGGAAUGUCGGGAUUGUGGUUGCUGAAUGGGGACAUUGAUAAGGGUCAUCGUGGUGCCAUAUGGUAUGAGCGCAAGCUUGAGCCUCUCGUCACUCGCACUCCUAAGGAAAACUGAAAGAUACACUCAGGAUGGCUUCAGCGGUACGUGCUUUAUUAAUUUGCACACUGACAUGCAUAUUAAUGGUUGAAAUGGGAGACACUAACUGAAAAGUUCUCUGAUGAAGGUUGAAAUGGGCCGGCCAUUUACCUUUCGCGUGUCUGGUUGAGUCUAUCCCGGGUGAGAAACGCGUCGCCAUCGAUGGGUCUUUGCUGAGCUGCUUAGUGGACCGUUGGAGGCCGGAGACCCACACGUUUCACUUCAGAUGGGGAGAGAUGGCUCCUACUCUGGAGGAUGUGUCACUUUUGCUCGGACUACCGUUGGCAGGUCAUGCCGUAGGACCGUUGGACGCACCGGCUGGUUGGGAGCGAGCUCUUACAGAACGUUUUCACGGUGUUUUUCCGGAUGCUCCCGAUCCGGUAUGGGAGCAUCACAGACCUAAGUAUGAGUGGUUGCUAAAUUUCCGGGUAAUUUCCCCUACCUAUUCUCUUCAAGUUAUCGCGCAUAAAGUUUUACAGAAAAUAAUUGCGGCUUACUAAAACUUUCUCUUCGCUUAAUGCAGAUCCAGAACUUCCGGGCGCCGUUGACUGCGGAACAGAUCACUCGGAGCCUCGAGGCCUACUUACUGUGGCUUUUCGGCAAGGUGAUGUUCACGGAGAACCAUGUCACCACUAUUAGCGCCCUCUACAUCCCUAUGGCACUUGAGAUAGCGAGCGCUCAGACGGCGGAUCAGAUCAGACAGAGGAGUUGGGGUUCGGCGGUGUUAGCGGCUACAUACCGAGGUAUGUGCAACGGUUGCCAGCUUACAUCGAGAAAGCCAGCCCUUCUUGGAUGCCCUCUAUUCCUACAACUGUGGUCGUGGGAGAGGUUCUCUAUAGGGCGACCAGAUGUACGUGUUCAUGAGACUAUAGACGCCAUGUUUGAUGUUGACGGCAUCGACAUGCCUACUUUCGGUCUGUGUUGGACUCGUCGCAAGGUAUGCACCGUGUUGUAGUUUAAUGCAACUUUUUCUGCACAAGAGAUCGAUCGAUGCUAGCGGCUACUAACUUUUAUUCUCAGCAGAGACGCUUUGCUAGUGAUCAGACCAGGAAGGCGUACACAGCAUUGAACGAGCAGUUCGAUGCGUACACCGGGGUCAUCUGGCAGCCCUACACGGAAGAAGCCGCGUCACUCCAUGCAACGACAUCAACCACGUCCACGCCUAGCACAGCAGCCGGCAACCAGGCCACCCCGUCCUGACCAACCUGGCAGUUCUAUGUGGCACCCGCAGCACUAUGGUCCCACGUCGAGCUUCGUGUUUUCUCCACAGCCACAGCAACACGGUCCCUCGUCGAGCUUCGUGUUUUCUCCACAGCCACAGCAGCACGGUCCCUCGUCCAGUUUCGUGUUUCAGCCAGAGCAGACGUCACACCCAGCAGGUAUGUGUCUUCAUAUUUAUUGUUUUCAAUAUUAAUUGACGCGACCUCAUUCUUCAUGAUGAAACGUUCCAUCGCGCAGGGGCCUAUGGAUAUCAGGCGUCUAUGUCGGCAUCACAUGAUACGUGGGGGAGUGAUCAACAUCCCGAGGACAACAUACAGGCUCAGAUGUUGCAGCACACCCAGUGGAUGAACAUGUUUUCGACUCCUCCACCAGGCCCCACACAGGAUACACAGCAUGACCAGGGAGAGUCUGGGAUUCCUCCUCGUCACAUUAGGGCACCCGACAGGUUGGGAUGGUCCCCGAUUCCAGAUCCGCCUCCCCGCCAGGCCAGACGUCGUCACUGACGCUUCUAUGUAUCUGUAUCAGUAGAGACAUUACCAUCUAUUUUUGUGUAAGACUUAUGUCUAUUCUAUGUAUCAGACAAAUGACUAUGUACUUAUGUACGAGACAUAUGCCUACUCUAUUUUAGUACUCUGUUAUCGGAACUACAAGAUCAUAUGUAGAUAGAACAUAAUAUUCAUACAACGAGACAUUGCAAACAAUUAGAUAGAACUACAUCUAAAUUAAAUGGUACGUAACUGAACUCACAACAUACAGCAUAAAAACUACAUGAAGUCAUCAUCGUCAUAUGUUCGCGCCAACUUUUUCCCGCCAUAUGUUCCCGCCAUAUGUUCCCGCCACCCGUUUCCCUCCUCCCAUUUCCCGCCAACCCUUUCCCGCCAUACCGCAGUCGUUCUUUCCCGCCAUUUUCUCCUCUCUACCUAUAAAACCCCUUCAGACGGAGCUGCAUAAGCAUUGCAGUGUGCUGGUGGUGAAAUUGGAGCACUGUGGUGGAGGUGAAGCUGUUGUUCGUCGUUCUUCGUUGGAGCCGGAGCACCGGCAGUUUGGUGGCCGCCGUUCGUCGUUCAUCCUUCGCACGCACGCUUCAAGGGUAUAUUUAAGCCCACAUUUUAUUUUUCGUAGGUGCUCCGGUAGUAUUUGUUAAUAUAUUUAGAUGUCAACUAAUUAGUUGUGUACAAAUGUGUAGUUGCUCCGGUAAUAAUCCGUCCUAUAUGUGGAUGUCAAGUAUUUAGGAGUGUCAGUAUAUGUAGGAGUCCAGAAAAAAGGUCCGUAAUAUAGGCAGUCCAGUCAAAUAUAUUAAUCUGUAAAUAUUUGUAGUUGCUACGGCAAAUACUCGUAAUAUAAUUGUAGGUGGGUGAAUUGUAUUAGUUGCUCCGUUAAUAUUAUGUAAUAUAUAGCUUCGUAAUAUAUAGACAUGUCUAAUAUUUGUUAGUGGGGAUAUUAAGGGGUAGGGUAGGUACUCAAUGCGAUUUGUGUGUUGCAGAUGGCUGAGGGCACUCAGUGGGUGCUUAGCCCUAUUGUUCAUGUCCAAGGCUUGUCUCCAAGUGUUGUGCAAGUUAGUGAAGUGGACCUCACUUUUGAUUGGUUGAAGACUAAAUUCAUGUUGAAGCAAGGGUUGAAGGAAGACGAUUUUGUGUACUACGUCAGCAGCAAGCAUUCAGAUGGCCCUGGGGAAAGAAAAUUGAUUGACAUAACUGAUGAUGGCAAGAUUCAAGAAAUGCUGAGCGAAUGGGAAUGGAAAAGGGUUGUUUAGUUGCAUUGCUACAGGAAACCGAGUUAUAUGUGAUGCAUUUGUCAUUCCAGAUCCGCCUCCCCGGCAGGCCAGACGUCGUCAUUGCCGUUCCUAUGUGUGAGACUUAUGUCUAUUCUAUGUAUGAGACAAAUGACUAUGUACUUAUGUACGAGACAUAUGCCUACUCUACAAGAUCAUAUUUACAUAGAACAUAAUAUUCAUACAACGAGACAUUACAAACAACUAGAUAGAACUACAUCUAAAUUAAAUGGCACGUAACUGAACUCACAACAUACAGCAUAAAAACUAUAUGAAGUCUUCAUCGUCAUCCUCGAUCGAUGCAGAACUCUUGCCCUUCGACGAUGAAGAACUCUUGCCCUUCGACGAUGCAGAAACCUUGCCCUUCGAUGAUGAAGAACUCUUGCCCUUCGACGAUGCAGAAACCUUGCCCUUCGAUGAUGAAGAACUCUUCCCCUUCGACGAUGCAGAACACGGAAGCGGCGGCAUGAAGAUAUCAUCUUCGUCCUCGCUCUCCUCAGUCCAUAAACAUGGAUUAUUUGCUGCAAUCCUUCUGAAAGUUUCACUCUUCGGCACCACUACUUCUUCCAGCUGUCAUGCAACCUAAAAAGUUCUUUACGUACCUCCUCAUAGGUCCUUUCAGGCCACCCAGAACUACGUAAUUGGUGAGCCAACUCAUUCAUUAUGGUGUCACUACCGGUGAGUUCGUCCCAUGGAACUAUCCUAUUAUCCAUCCUGAAAUCGGUAGCUAGCCUCAGAAGAGUCCUGCUCAUCCCAGGGUGAAAACUACGAUCGAAAGGAUAAUGGGACAUCUCAACUACACUACACUGCAAUGCUUAUCCAGCUCCGUCUGAAGGGGGUUUUAUAGAUAGAGACGAGAAAAUGGCGGGAAAGAACGACUACGGUAUGGCGGGAAAGGUUGGCGGGAAAUGGGAGGAGGGAAACGGGUGGCGGGAAAUUGGUUGGCGGGAAACGGGUGGAGGGAAACGGGUGGCGGGAAAUUGGGUGGCGGGAAAUGGGUGGCGGGAAAUGGAUGGCGGAAAAAGCGCAGUUUGGAAAUGUCGAUAACUUUCAAAACAAAUGUUCAUCACAAUGGAAAAAGGUUCCCGCCUUUCAAAAAAUGCAUGCAAUUUUUUUUGAAAAAUAUUAAAAGAAAUGGUUCGUGCCACUAAAUGAAUGUACGUCACCUUUGCUGGAAAUAUUCUCGUGUUUCCAAAAAAUAUCCAUGACAUUGUAAAAAAUGGUACUCCCUUCAUCCCAUAAUAUAAGAUGAUAUUACAAUUAAUAUACUCACAUAUCACGUGGGUUAACAAAUGUUUAGAUGGAUCAUGACAUUUUAAGAAAAUAUUCGCGUGUUUCUAAAAAAAGUUUGUGAAAAUUUCAGAAAAGCAUUUUAAAAAAUGUUGUGUGGUUUAAAAAAAUGGUAUUUCCAUUAAAAAUGUAUUUGAAGAAAUGUUACCAUGUAUUCAUAACGUGUUAAAAUAUAUACUUUAAAAAAAUAUCAUCAUGUAUUAUUAGAAAUAGGCAUGCACCAGUCGGCCCACAGCAGGCCAACUGAGCAUAGUCGGCCCACUGCAGGCCUAUCGGUGUACUGCAGGCCGACUGGACCCUGUCGGCCAACUGCAGGCCGACUGGGCUUGAUUCUGGUGGCCGACAGCCCAAUCGGCCAGCAGCAAACUGAUGGGCCGCCAGUCGGCCUGCUGUGGGCCGACUGGGCUCAGUCGGCCUGCAGUAGGCCGAUGGUGUAUUAUUUUUGAAAAAUCUUUUUUUUGCAUAUUAUUUCUGUAAUUUAAAAAAAAUGUAUUAUUUAAAAAAAAUUAGCAAAUUAUAGAGUACAACAUAAGUUCUUAAUUUGUUGAAAGACGGUCAUAGAAGUAGAACUAGAGAAGCAUGCCUGAAAAGCGCA